rnacentral:lncRNA from 1 species
GAAGCCUCUUUCUCUCUAGUCUCUCUCUAAGUUUCUAGUAUAUAUCACUUUCUUUUGUAAUUAUUCUGAAGAUUAGUACAAGCCUACCAGUUCGACUGAUAGGGCCAUUUGCCUUAAGAUAUUUCCUUUCUUUUUCUGUUUUUAAUUUAUUCUCCUCUCUCUAAGUCGUGACUAUGUCCAGCUGAGAUUAUACAUGUCUAUGGAGGUUUUCUAACUUCUUUUGCUUAAUAACUAUGAAAGAUCUAGACUCAUCAAAAUAUAAAGAAAUUUUAUAAAGUUUUUUUGGCUUGGUUCUGAGAUGGCGGUACAGGAAGAUUCGAUACUUUUCUUAUUGGUUUUGCCUUAGUAGCUCCGUCUAACAAGUUGUGACAUUCAGCCCGCUUAGCUGUGUGCGUUAAGGGCAUUUCAGUCAUGGUCAGGCCGUUAGAUAUAUGGGUUCAGUGAAGAUAAGUAUUAAAUCUUGACAUGUCCCUUGCUUGGGUAAAAGGUUACCAUACAGUCAUUAAAACUCUAUAAAAUUCCUCGAUAUUUCGACUUAUAAUGUUAUUUUUUGUUGAAUCAAAGCGUGAGCCGUGCGGACUACCGCCAGUACACGCAGAGAUCCUGCAAAUGCUAUCAGAUCCUAGGCCCUUUCAUAGUUAAUAAGUAAUAGGUGUGAAGAAUCUAACAUAGACAUGAAGAAUUAGACAUGGAUUUGGGUGAAACCAGUACUAAAAGUACUAGACUUGAAGAGGCAGAUAUACCUCAAAACCUUGACGGGUCCCAUAUAUGGGUCCCUUACACAGUAUAUCUACUGUUAAUAAAUAGUAAGGAAGGUCCCAUAUGUGGGUCCCUUGUACAGUGUAUCAAACUCUGAAUAUCGGUGUUAAGAGGGACUACUCUUAAGAAGGUAAUUAAAAUUCAUCAUUAAAGAAUAUAUUAUAGAAACUCAUUAUGAUUCUAAAUAUUCUCGGGAUAAGAAAUCAGAAAGAGAAUUAUCAAUUCCCUUUUUAUAAACAAUAUCAAAAUCAAAAAGUGUUAGUUGAG